GAUGAACGCUGGCGGCGUGCCUAAUACAUGCAAGUCGAGCGAACGGACGAGAAGCUUGCUUCUCUGAUGUUAGCGGCGGACGGGUGAGUAACACGUGGAUAACCUACCUAUAAGACUGGGAUAACUUCGGGAAACCGGAGCUAAUACCGGAUAAUAUUUUGAACCGCAAGGUUCAAAAGUGAAAGACGGUCUUGCUGUCACUUAUAGAUGGAUCCGCGCUGCAUUAGCUAGUUGGUAAGGUAACGGCUUACCAAGGCAACGAUGCAUAGCCGACCUGAGAGGGUGAUCGGCCACACUGGAACUGAGACACGGUCCAGACUCCUACGGGAGGCAGCAGUAGGGAAUCUUCCGCAAUGGGCGAAAGCCUGACGGAUCAACGCCGCGUGAGUGAUGAAGGUCUUCGGAUCGUAAAACUCUGUUAUUAGGGAAGAACAUAUGUGUAAGUAACUGUGCACAUCUUGACGGUACCUAAUCAGAAAGCCACGGCUAACUACGUG
rnacentral:rRNA from 1 species